CACCUAUUUAUUAUAAUCUAAUAAACAAUUCUAUCGAAAUACACAUUAAGUAAAAACAAUAUAUUCAUUAAGUUUAUUAUUACUUAAGAACAUUCACUUUAAUCGAAUAGAUAGCAGGCAAAUUAUUUCUCUGAACAAUUUAAAGGGUAUGAAGAACAUUUUGACUUAUUCAUAGUAAAAUUCAAGUUCAAACAAUUUUGAACAGAAACAGUAUAGUUAAACUUUGAUUUUUAUAAAUUAUUAAUAGAAUUUGUAUAAUCUUAUACGAGGUGUAUUAUUCCCAUAAGGGGACCUUAUCAGCUGCUGUAAAAUAAGGAGUAGCCGGUUCAGUUGUACGUUUGCCAAGGGAGUACUUAGGAGCGUUAUUAUACUGUACAAGUGUGGAAUCAUUGGACCGACCAAGAAUUGAAUAUUGCGGUACUGAUGGCAUAUUGGCAGCUCGUUUACCAAUGGUUCCAGAAAUUGUAUACGCGUUAGGUGCUGGCGUAGAGACCAAUUCAACAAGUACCUAAAUACUGAAGCACAAUGCAAUAUCAACUGAGCUAAGUAGGCUACCAAAUUAGAAUUUGUGUUUAAAAUUAUAUCAAUCAUUUUUUUUUUUAAUAAGAACGAUUUGAAAUAUUUAAUAUAUU